UGUACAGGAUUAUGGAGUUGUCCCUGUUGAAUUGCACAGACUUCCUGCUGCUGCAUUACUCCAGUUUGGAUGGAUGGUUCUGCGCCUAGAUGGUGACCCAGUGAUCCAUGGAGCACUUUGCUUUCAUCCACAGACUGCAUGAGUGUGAAUUCCAUCUCUUCCAGACCAAUGAUGAAGAUACACUCAGGACUCAGUAUAGACCCUUAAAGAACAUAAUUUGUAACCACCUCCAAGUAUGAACCAUCAGCUCCAUGAUCUCACCAGUGUUCAGUGCACUACCUGUCCAUCCAGACAUGAACCAUCAGCUCCAUGAUCUCACCAGUGUUCAGUGCACUACCUGUCCAUCCAGACCACAACAUCGCAACCUGGGUUCUGCUUCUGCUGGAAAUAUUUAAGGGUGCCUGUGAAGUGAAAAAUUGAGAAUUUAUGUUACCUGCACUACAUUUUGAAAAUGUCCUAGAAAUUCUCUCUCCUGGCUAUAGGGUGUACAGAAAAUUUCCCCUUUGAUGUAUGUUUUUGUCUCCAAAUCACACUGCUUAAGGUUUCCUUUAAUAUUUUUUCAUGAAAACAUAAAAUGCAAAAUAAUCUCUCUGCAAACAAGCCUUUAAUGACUCUUCUCCUAGCUUCAAUAUUUUUAAGAGAUGCUGUUUGUAUCCUUCUUUCCCCAGCCUCAUUGCUUCAAGUCCAAAUGCAUGUUUCCUGUUAAGUCCUCCUGUAUAAAUGGAGUCUCCAGUGGUCCUCUUGCUUUGAGAAGACUGUAAUACCAUCCUUGCUGAUGUAUGGCUUAUUCCACAACUAAAUGGUUGGUUAUUAACAUAAGAGUUCCAUGCUAAAUCUGGGAUUUAUAAGUUCUACCAAUGGAUUUCCAAAAUCAUCAUGAUUUUAUGAACAAAGAGAAAGACAGGAACAUUUUAUCAGCUCAAAAUGACUAGCUAAUGCCUAGUAGCCAUACAUGUCAUAGCACAUCUUUUUUACAAUCAACUGGAAAUUAUUAGAUGCUUUUAAUAACAACUGUCUAUAUACAAUAGCUAAAACAUCCUAAUGGACAGAGUUAGAUUUUUUUCCUUCCUUGCUUUCAUCAAAUUGAAAUGAAUGAAAG
rnacentral:lncRNA from 1 species